rnacentral:lncRNA from 1 species
GCAAUCCCUGAUUCUUUGGGCCUGUGUGGAUGUCUGUGGGCACCGGAGAGAGGGCCAGUGCCUGGUCCUUGGAGGGUGGUUUUUAUAAAAAGUGUACACAUUGGCUAUUGUCCUUUUUUCACCGUUGAUUCACGUUUGACUCCACUGUAGUUAGACGUCCACCCAAACAUUCUCUGAAAUUGCUCCUGAUAAGGAUACUAAUCAUUUUCUAAUUGCCUUGGCCAAAAAAUACAUCCCAGGUCUUAUUUCAUUUUGUUUGUUGGCGACAUUUAGCCCUUUCUUCUUUGACCUUCCCAGGAUUUCCAGAGCACCCUUCCCUUCUUUCCUGACUCCUUUGCUUGGUAUCCUGAUUCCUUUCCUACCAUUCUAAGCCCUCUUCUUUUCAUUAUAAUAUGAUCUUCUUGUAUGACCUCCACUAUAUCCAUAGGUUCAUGUUUCAACUUUUAACUUAUUUCUUCAAAAUCUCUAACCUGUCUCGAGCCGUAGAUGUUACCUGUGUACUACUGGACAUCUCUCAGAAACCUGGGUGUGUCCCUCCGCAGUUCUUUUAACUAAAUGAUCAACAGUCCUGUUACUUCUAUCACUUUUGUGUUCCUCCUGUCCAUACUCUGUCACCUCUAUCAUGUCUCAUGUCUCUCCUAAACAAUUAAUUUUCCUACCUACAGUUCUGAUCCAUGCCAACCUAUUGCCUACUCUGAAGUUCAGGAGAGGAUGGUGAAAUAGAGGUAGUUUGUGUGAUUUGCCCAGAGUCCCAUGAAGAAUUCACAGAAGAAUUGAGACUACAGUCAGUAUGGCCACAUUCCCAGAGAACUGCUUUUUCUGCCAUACCCUGUGGUAAUAAUAUUGUCACAAGACAAUUGGACAGUGUUUCACAUAUUCAGUGAUGGAAGAAGAGUUUAAUUGAAAUAAAUAAAUGUCAGGAAAAAUUAAUUCGAUUGUGAUAACACUUAAGGAAUGGAGUGUUCACUCUCUAGGAGAAGUUGGGCUAAAUGAUGAAAUGGAGUGUCCGUGUAUGU